ensembl:lncRNA
UCCAGCAGGAGGCCCCAAACCAGCAUCCAGAGCAGAUGUAACCUUCUGCAACCCAACAGGAGGCCACAACUGAGCCUCCAGGUCCUCCUGUGAAGGCUGAACGUUGAGCAGGAGCAGCCAGGUCUGCCUUCUGAGUCUUCUGGGGAAGUUGAAUCCUCUCCAGCCUGCAGGAGACCCCAGCUCAGCCUCCAGAACAUCAUCAAGUAACAGUUCCACCUCCCGGUCACCAUCAAGUUCAACACUGAGAUUUGCCCAGUAUCACUGUUAAGCCUCCAGAUACGAAGCUCACCAUAGCAACAGAGCCUACUGCGGAGGUGAGAACUUCUCCAAUCCAUCAGGAGGCUACAGCUCAGCUCUCAGGGCCAGUUAAUGAUGUGGAACAUUCCAACACCCAGCAUGGGGGCACGCCUCUGCCUACAGAGUCAUUGGAAGAGGCUGGCCCUUUACCAGUUCAACAGGAGACUUCGGUUGAAUCUCCAGAACCCACUAAAUAUGAGAACCCCUCUCCAACACAGUAGGAGGCUGCAGGUGAGCAUCCACAGACCCCUGAGUAGGUUGAGUCUUCUCCAACCCAGAAAGACGCCCCAGCUCAGCCUUCAGAGCUCCCUAAUGAAGUUGUAGCUCAACCUCCAGAGCGUCAUGGGGUAACAGUUUCUCCUAUAAGUCAUGAUCAAGUUCAGCCUCCAACAUUUCACCAUGUCAUUGUUAAGCCUGUGGAUCACAUGGUUACCAUGACUCCAGAGUUCACCUAUCAGGUUGAAAUUUUAAUUCAACACAGGGUCCCAGCUCAGUCUUUAAUAUCCCCUGAGCAGUUUAAACAUUUGAAAGACCAGCAACAGAUUAUCAUUCAGCAGCUAAAUACCCCUGGAAAUGAUGAACUUCUGCCAAGUCUAUCAAGACCCCACGACUCCGUCUCCAACUCAGCUCUCCUCAGACAUUAUUAAAUCUCCAACCCAGCAAGCAGCCACAACUCAGAUCCCAGAUCCACCUAAAGAGGUAGAAUCUUCUCCAGUUCAGCCUGAGUCCCCACCUGAGCCAUCAGGCCCCCUUAAAGACGUUGAACCAUCUGAAACCCAGCAGGAAGUCUCAGGUCAUUUUCUGAAGUCCACUGAAGAGGUCAGUCUUCCACCACAGCUGGAGAUACCAGCUCAGCCAUCAGAGCCACCUGAGAAGGUCGAGCCAUCUCCAGUCCUACAACUGGCCCAAACUCAGAUUUUAAAGCCACCUAAAGAGGUAGAAUCCUCUCCAGUCCAGCAGGCAGGCCCUGCUCAAUCUUCAGAGGACCCUAUGUUAGUAGAACUCUCUCUGACUCAGCAGGUGUCCCCAUCUUUACAUCCAGAGUUCCCUGAAGAGGUGGAACCAUCUCUAACUCAGCAGGAGUUUCCAGCUCAGACCCCAGUGCCCCAAAUGGAGGCAGAACCUUCUCCAGCCCAACAGGAGGCCACAGUUCAGGCUCCAGAGCCCCCCGAGGAGGUUGAAACUUCAAGCCAGCAGAUGGUCCCAGCUCAGCUUCCAGAGCCACCUAAGGAGGUUGCAGGUCAACCUCCAAUGCAUUACGAGAUGACAAAGACAUGGCUACAGGUAUGA